GACGAACGCUGGCGGCGUGCUUAACACAUGCAAGUCGAGCGGUAAGGCCCUUUCGGGGGUACACGAGCGGCGAACGGGUGAGUAACACGUGGGUGACCUGCCCUCAGCUCUGGGAUAAGCCUGGGAAACCGGGUCUAAUACUGGAUAUGACUCCAUGACGCAUGUUGUGGGGUGGAAAGCCUUGUGCGGCUGAGGAUGGGCCCGCGGCCUAUCAGCUUGUUGGUGGGGUGAGGCCUACCAAGGCGACGACGGGUAGCCGGCCUGAGAGGGCGACCGGCCACACUGGGACUGAGACACCGGCCCAGACUCCUACGGGAGGCAGCAGUGGGGAAUCUUGCGCAAUGGGCGAAAGCCUGACGCAGCGACGCCGCGUGAGGGAUGAC
rnacentral:rRNA from 1 species